rnacentral:rRNA from 1 species
CGCGUAGGCGGCCAUUUAAGUCGGGUGUGAAAUCCCAGGGCUCAACCCUGGAACUGCAUCCGAUACUGGGUGGCUUGAGUAUGGGAGAGGGAAGUGGAAUUCCAGGUGUAGAGGUGAAAUUCGUAGAUAUCUGGAGGAACACCAGUGGCGAAGGCGACUUCCUGGACCAAUACUGACGCUGAGGCGCGAAGGCGUGGGGAGCAAACA